rnacentral:rRNA from 1 species
UACGAAGGGUGCAAGCGUUACUCGGAAUUACUGGGCGUAAAGCGUGCGUAGGUGGUGAGUUAAGUCUGAUGUGAAAUCCCCGGGCUCAACCUGGGAAUGGCAUUGGAUACUGGCUCGCUAGAGUGCGGUAGAGGGUGGUGGAAUUCCCGGUGUAGCAGUGAAAUGCGUAGAGAUCGGGAGGAACAUCUGAGGCGAAGGCGGCCACCGAGACCAACACUGACACUGAGGAGCGAAAGCCAGGGGAGCAAACGGG